UCGACGGAAGGNCCCUUCGGGGGUACUCGAGUGGCGAACGGGUGAGUAACACGUGGGCAAUCUGCCCUGCACUUCGGGAUAAGCCUGGGAAACUGGGUCUAAUACCGGAUAGGACCUUUAGGCGCAUGUCUUUAGGUGGAAAGCUUUUGCGGUGUGGGAUGGGCCCGCGGCCUAUCAGCUUGUUGGUGGGGUGAUGGCCUACCAAGGCGACGACGGGUAGCCGGCCUGAGAGGGUGUCCGGCCACACUGGGACUGAGAUACGGCCCAGACUCCUACGGGAGGCAGCAGUGGGGAAUAUUGCACAAUGGGCGCAAGCCUGAUGCAGCGACGCCGCGUGGGGGAUGACGGCCUUCGGGUUGUAAACCUCUUUCACCAUCGACGAAGGUUCGGGUUUUCUCGGAUUGACGGUAGGUGGAGAAGAAGCACCGGCCAACUACGUGCCAGCAGCCGCGGUAAUACGUAGGGUGCGAGCGUUGUCCGGAAUUACUGGGCGUAAAGAGCUCGUAGGUGGUUUGUCGCGUUGUUCGUGAAAUCUCACGGCUUAACUGUGAGCGUGCGGGCGAUACGGGCAGACUAGAGUACUGCAGGGGAGACUGGAAUUCCUGGUGUAGCGGUGGAAUGCGCAGAUAUCAGGAGGAACACCGGUGGCGAANGCGGGUCUCUGGGCAGUAACUGACGCUGANGAGCGAAAGCGUGGGGAGCGAACAGGAUUAGAUACCCUGGUAGUCCACGCCGUAAACGGUGGGUACUAGGUGUGGGUUUCCUUCCUUGGGAUCCGUGCCGUANCUAACGCAUUAAGUACCCCGCCNGGGGAGUACGGCCGCAAGGCUAAAACUCAAAGGAAUUGACGGGGGCCCGCACAANCGGCGGANCAUGUGGNUUAAUUCGAUGCAACGCGAANAACCUUACCUGGGUUUGANNUGCACAGGACGCGUCUAGAGAUAGGCGUUCCCUUGUGGCCUGUGUGCNGNGNGCAUGGNUGNCGUCAGCUCGUGUCNNGAGAUGNUGGGUUAAGUCCCGCAACNAGCNCAACC
rnacentral:rRNA from 1 species